UACGGGGGGGGCAAGCGUUGCUCGGAAUUACUGGGCGUAAAGGGCUCGUAGGCGGCCAACUAAGUCGGACGUGAAAUCCCCAGGCUCAACCUGGGAACUGCGUUUGAUACGGAUGGGCUAGAGUUCGGGAGAGGAGAGUGGAAUUCCCAGUGUAGAGGUGAAAUUCGUAGGAUAUCGGGAGGAACACCUGUGGCGAAGGCGGACCCCUGGUCGGAUACUG
rnacentral:rRNA from 1 species